GACGAACGCUGGCGGCGCGCCUAAAACAUGCAAGCCGAACGGACCGGAGAGAGCUUUGUUUUUUUAAGCUUAGUGCGAAACGGGUGAUUAACGCGUGAGUAACCGCCCUGGGAGUGGGGGACAACAGUGGGAAACAACUGCUAAUACCGCAUAGGCCCAGGAUCCGGCAUCGGUUUGGGGGAAAAGGAUUUAUUCGCUUCAGGAUGGACUCGCGUCCAAUUAGCUAGUUGGUGAGGUAACGGCCCACCAAGGCGACGAUUGGUAGCCGGACUGAGAGGUUGAACGGCCACAUUGGGACUGAGACACGGCCCAGACUCCUACGGGAGGCAGCAGUGGGGGAUAUUGCACAAUGGGGGAAACCCUGAUGCAGCGACGCCGCGUGGAGGAAGAAGGUUUUCGGAUUGUAAACUCCUGUCGUUAGGGACGAUAAUGACGGUACCUAACAAGAAAGCACCGGCUAACUACGUG
rnacentral:rRNA from 1 species